GGCCCAGGAGGUAAUUGCUGUGCCUCUGGGCCUGAGCCCUGCUAAGGCUUCAGCUGCCCUCUCUGCUGUCUGGCAGUGCGGGCACACAGCAUUACCUGACCCCCUUGCAGUGCUCGGUUUCCUAUACAAGGGGAUCCCAGCACAGCAUGGAACAGUUCCCAUCUGUGCUCCUUUCUAGACUGGGAACGUGACUUCCAUCAUUUGUUAAAGCACAGUUUAAGGAUGUUGGAGCUUGGUGAAGAUGAACCUGAUGAUGAUCCUGAUGCUGAAUAUGAGCCUGUUGACGAAGACUAUCCUGUGAAUGGAGAUGACUUGGAUUCCCAACGCAUACCCAUUACUGAGCCUCUGGGCGAUGCUGAGGGUGUGUCUGCAGGGAGGAAUUUCCCAGGUCCUUUGGUGGAUGUUGCACGCAAGCCCAGCUCCCAUCACAGGGGUGAGUAGUUUGUUCCUGCUGACCCCACAGGCUGAG